rnacentral:rRNA from 1 species
UAGAGUUUGAUCCUGGCUCAGGAUGAACGUUGGCGGUGUGCUUGAGAUAUGCAAGUCGCACGUCUUUUUGCCGCAAGGCAAAAGGUAGUGGCGGACGGCUGAGUAACACGUAGGAAUCUACCCCAAAAUAAGGAAUACCCCCGAGAAAUCGGGGCUAAUACCUUAUGGACCCUUGCCGAAAGGUGUAGGGUAAAGCGAGUAACUUCGCGUUUUGGGAUGAGCCUGCGGCCUAUCAGGUAGUUGGUGGGGUAAAAGCCUACCAAGCCAAUGACGGGUAGCUGGUCUGAGAGGAUGGCCAGCCAGAGGGGCACUGAGACACGGGCCCCACUCCUACGGGAGGCAGCAAUCAGGAAUAGUCGGCAAUGGGCGCAAGCCUGACCGCGCGACACCGCGUGUAGGAAGAAGUUCUAACGAGCGUAAACUACUGUAGUAAGGGAAGAAGUCUCGACUUAGUCGGGAUUGACGGUACCUUACGAGAAAGGGGCCGCUAACUGCGUGCCAGAAGCGUCGGUAACACGUGGGCCCCAAACGUUAUCCGGUUUUAUUGGGCGUAAAAGGUCGUGUAGGCGGUUUGAUAAGUCUCUGUUUAAAUACUACAGCUUAACUGUAGGAAAGGCAAAGAUACUAUUAGACUUGAGUUUUCUUUAGGGAGACUGGAACUUAGGGAGGAGUAGUGAAAUGCGUUGAUACCCUAGGGAACACUAGUGGCGAAGGCGAGUCUCUGGAAGAUAACUGACGCUGAGACACGAAAGCUAGGGGAGCGAAGCAGAUUAGAGACCUGCGUAGUCCUAGCCUUAAACGAAUGCCUGCUAGCUGCACCUCUUCCCACCUUUGGUGGGAUAAGAUGUGGCGAAGGUAACCCGUUAAGCAGGCCGCCUGGGGAGUACGGCCGCAAGGUUGAAACUCAAAGGAAUUGGCGGGGAGGCACACAACCAGUGGAACAUGUGGUUCAAUUCGAAACGAAACGAAGAACCUCACCAAGACUUGACAUAUUACCGUUUAUUUUGCUAGAAAUAGCGAGAAAUCCCUAAAGGAUGGUAUUACAGGUACUGCAUGGCUGUCGUAAGCUCGUUCCGUGAGGAGUGCCCUUAAGUGGGACAACGAGCGCAACCCCUAUCCUGUGUUAAAUCUGUCACAGGAGACUGCCCCGACUUAGUCGGGGAGGAAGGAGGGGCGGACGUCAAGUCAGCAUGGUCCUUAUGUCUUGGGCUACACACAUGUUACAAUGAGAAAAACAGCGGGCUUUGCUAGCCAGCAAUGGUAAGCAAAUCUCUUAAAUUUUCUCUCAGUGGGGAUUGAGGUCUGCAACCCGACCUCAUGAACACGGAAUUGGUAGUAAUCGCGGAUCAGCUAUGCCGCGGUGAAUACGUUCUUGCCUCUUGCACACACCGCCCGUCAAACAAACAAAGUCGGGGAUACUUGAAGUUCGAUGUACGUCGGACGAGAGUACCGCUGGCGAUGGGUGUUAAGUCGUAACAAGGUAACC